GUGAACUACCACGAACCUAAAGGUAACGUGGCUUCUAAAAAAGAAGCUACAUGGUCUCUAGCUUCGUCCCUAUGGGGUAAGUUCACCAGACUCCGUUAGGAGAAAUCCUAGCUACGUUAAUGAGGUCAUGACACCUUCGGUUGACGCACCAGACCGUUGCUCUGUCGUCCAUGUUUAAGUAGGGUUGAGGUAAGGCUCGGUGACAUGGACGUAAAAAGCCUUUUUAACUUUGUCGAGGUGAGGUCGGA
rfam:[Bacillus] aminovorans strain DSM 1314 DSM1314_contig_31, whole genome shotgun sequence.